AUCUCUGUGGCAGAUAGAAAGAGAGAACAUGGAAGCAAGUGAGGUGUCCAAGGACUUCAUCACAAACACCGAAUUCCAAUCUUUAUUACCAGACGAAAUUUUUCCUGAGUCAUCCAAGGAAGACAAACGUUUGCUGUUGGCUGGUCACGGCUUCCGUCUUGACUGCUUCAUCUGCGAAUCCGAUGAGUCGUAACAAUCCGGGUGGAUUGAGUUCAACUUUCCUUUUACCUACCUUUGGACCAGUAGAUACUCAAAAUUGAGCCACCAGACUCCAUAGAUUGAGCAUCCACGAAGGCAAACUGGAUUUGACACCCAUGGCCACUGGAACCACCUACGUAUGUCCAGUUCUGCUCACCCAGAUUCAGUGAGUCUCAUGGACUUCAAAGGCUGUUCAUUCCAAGGAAAUUCAGAGGAGCAGGAAAUGAGAGCGAGCAAUGCUCCAGAAUAAUUGAGCCGUGGAAAGGCAGUUCCUCCUGAAAAUACAGUGAAAAAAAAAAAAGACUGAAAAUUAAAGAAGAGUGCAUCUCCCUCGAGUGGAGCUCCAUCCCAGCAAAGACAGUCAAGACCCACGAAGCAUAUAAUAUCAUGAAGCAUAUGACUUGAGCACUUUGUGAUUUGAACAUCUAUAGGGAAAACAGAAAUUAUUAGUUGUUUGGGAUUCAUUUUACAGAUCAUUACCAUUACAUGAAGUCAUUCUGGACUGCCCCUCCUAGGAUGAAGAAGUUUCCAGAAUGGCAGUUUCCACUGAGUUUCUGCAGAAAGCAGAAAGACUCCAGCAGAGAUGGUACACCGCAUGGCAUGCGAUGCCUAGCAAUAUGAAAUUAUUCCAUGGCCCAGUGCCUUACGAAAAAGGCAUGGAUCGCCCUCCCAAGGGUUGUGUGUCAGUGUUUUCAUUUUCAAUUUGGGGCCUGUCAGGGUGUGCAGGCCAGGGCAAAUUAUUAUCUUCUAGUGAUGUCCGAUCUUUGUAGGAUUUUUGUUUCUUUUUGAUAUUGAAUCACCCAGGGUUGUAUGUGGCCAUUUCUAUUAAUAAAAUGUGUUUUGCUGAGGUUGGGGAUAUAUUUCUUUUCAUUAUUUUCAAAAGAAACAUUGAAUUGCUUUUCUGGAGCACGAUUUUCAAUCCCUUCUGUGUUUUUCCCCCGUGUACACUAUUGUCAUUGAGGUUACAGAGCUUGAGAGAAAAAAAGAAUUCAAGAAUAGAAGGGGAAGUCAUGUUAUGAAUAAAAUUUAUGGGGUGAGUUUUUUCACGCACAGAAACCAGCCUUCCUGACACCUUCCGCGUUGGAGAGCAAAUCCUCUGAGCUGUGUCUGCACCGUGCUUGAUCCAAUCAUUGCAUCUGUGAUGCUGCACUGUCAUUUUUGUCCUUGCCUGGCUCGUUCCCACUAGACGUGCAUCUCCUUUAGGACAGGAACUGUCUCAUUCAUCUCUGUAUUUCCAUUGCCUAGGACACUACUCAAUAAAUGUCGGUGGAAUGAGCAAGAGAUGUGAUUAUGUGCUUUUCGACGUACAGGCAUUGAAACACAUAUUUAUAUAAAGAUGAAAGACAAAACGAAACUAUGGUAAAAUAGAAAGAUGCUGGAAUAAAAACUAGUCCCUGAGGGGUAAAAUAUUAGAAAUGGUUAUAGGAAAAUGUGAGAUAAUUAUUUCUUUUACUUCUCAGAAGCAGGGAAGAACCAUGUAAAAAUAACUAACAAGAGAGAGAUGCUCUGUGAGACCAGGCUCAGAUCAGGGGCUUACCAACUUCUACACAUGCUUAGGGGCCUUCCUCUGGGGACACUGUGGGGACAAAAGGAAAGGGACCUGAGUUUCUCCAGUAAAGGGAUGGAUUGUCAUAGGGAGUGAACCAAUGAGAAAAAUUGAAAAGGUUAAAAGUAGAAGCGUGAGGAUUUUUAUUGGAAUAUAAUGUAUGUACUAAAGUUUGUCUAUGCACAAAUUUUGGAUUUUACUGAAAUCAAAUAAAACAGACAGA